GGGAAUAUGAUUGAUCAAAUAAUAGCCGCUAACUAAUUAUUUUUACGGUUAAAUACCGUUUAUAUUCCUA
rnacentral:tRNA from 1 species